AUGUACAAACCGUGGAACCUUGUUAAAGUGCAGAUUCUGAUUUGGGUAGGUAGGUCUGUGGUAGAGCUCAGACUCUAUAUUUCUAAUGACCUUCCAGGUGAUGCUGAU
rnacentral:pre_miRNA from 1 species